rnacentral:lncRNA from 1 species
UGGUCUCGAACUCCCAGCCUCAAACAAUCCUCCCACCUUGGCCUCCUAAAGCACUGGGAUUAUUAUAGGCAUGAGCCACCAUGCCCGACCCUCUAAAUCCCUUUGAAAGUGGGUUCAUGAAGCAUCUGCACAAAGGGCGGCUGCCUCCUUGGUGGCAGGGGCUGGAUUCACUGUCUUCAGGUGGCUGGGACAGGCAUGCCACCACCUUGGCUUCUGGCUCUCCAGAGCUUGGGAGCCUCUCUGCCGCUUGUCCCCUGUUCAUGCUGCACUUGAACCCACAGCAUGGAAGAGCCGCUCACUGCCACUUCAAAGUCAAGGGCCAGUUUCAUUCAGAUCAAGGUGAUGAUUUCCCAAAUUGAAUGUCUCCAAGCUGACUUGCUCCUCUCUGAGAACUUCUCAUUAUGGCCACCGGUAGAAGCCACUGUGUUUGACCUGGGUUUGGGUUUUGUUUCAGCAGCAAUGUUUGAGAGAUGAAUAUUUUACACUCUAGCUGGUGAGAGCUGCAAGGAAAUGUGGGGGCAUUCUUAUUGAGCUCCCCCCCACCACUUUAUGGAGGAGGAAACUGAGUCUCAGAAUGGGGACAGGACUAGGGGGCUAACUAGCUGCAGAGACAGACCUGGGUUUUGGCCCCUGAUGGCAAGUUUCCCCCCAGAUGCCUGUGCUGAACUGGGGACCCUCCUUAGGAGGGGGAUGGGGAUCUUCCUUUCACCAAUGCCAGCCACCCCAAUUCUGCUUCUAGGCUUUUGAGAAAAGACCAUAUGAUUCUGAGGUCUAGGGUGUGACAAGCACAGGCCUCAAGAGUUGACAGGGCUCAGGUUCUAGCUCUGUGAUCCUGGGGCCAUCGCCUUGCGGGGCAUUUGACUCACCCGUAAAAUGGAGCAAAUAGUACUCCCUUACAGCGCUGUUAAAAUUAAAUGAGCCACUUUAUUGAGAGCACCUGCCACAAGUGCUCUGUAUAAGUUCCUUUCAUUUAUUCCCCACUCUGGGCCAAUGUACUUCCACACUGCAGCAUCGUGGUUCUUUCUCACCUCAACCUGUAGGUGGGUGCUGUUUGUGUACCCCUUUUCCAGAUGAGGAAAUGGAGGCUCCCAAUGGUGACAUGGCUUGGUCAAGGUCAAAAAGCUAAUAAGAGUUGGAACUAGAACUAGAACCUCAAGGCUUUUCAGACAUCAGAUCUACGUUCAGAACGCUGAUCAUUCUCUUACUAGCCAGGUGGAGUCCUGGGGAGGCGCCCUGUUCCCUACAGCAACGCUGUCCACCGACGGUUCUUCAGUGGUGGGAAUGUCCUGUGUCUCCACUCUCCAAUACAGUCGCUGCUGGCCACAGGCUGCUAGCGAGCACUUGAAAUGAGGCUGGUGCCACUAAGGAACCAAAUUGUUAAUUUUGUUUAAUUUCAACUAAUUGAAAUUUAUAGUGAAAUACCCACAUGGGGCUGUGGCUUCCACACAGGACAACCCAACUGGAAGCCACUGUGUCUUUGCAUUACGUCAGAGGCUAAUCCUUGCCAUCAGAGCCAGUGGGUGUGGUGAGGCUCUGUGUGUGAGGCCCUGGACAUUUCUCAAGCACCUGCUGGUGCUCGGUGAGUAUUAGGCGCCCCUUCCUCCCGCUGGCUGGCUCUGUAAGUGGGGAGACCAAGUGGUUGUGUCUCUAGAAUGGAGGCUGAGGUGUGUUCGUGGCACAUCUGCCCAGUAAUGCGGAUCAGCAGGAGGUGUCUUUCCUGCACCCAAGGAGGCCUCCCAUUGCACCUGGGGGCUUGGCUUCACCUAUGUGACCUCACAUCCAGGCCUGCGCACCCGUAUCUGAGCUGGCAUUGUAAGAAGCCCUGGAUGGCCCCAUGAACUGGCUCCUGACAGCAGCGCUUGUGGCAAACCCUCCCUGCCCACAAACCCCCCGGUGGCCACACCUACAAGAGUGCCCCUUACCGGCCAGGCGCGGUGGCUCACGCCUAUAAUCCCAGCACUUUGGGAGGCCGAGGCUGGUGGAUCAUCUGAGGUCAGGAGCUCAAGACCAGCCUGACCAACAUGGUAAAACCCUGUCUCUACUAAAAAUACAAAAUUCGCUGGGCAGGGUGGUGCAUGCCUAUAAUCCCAGCUACACAGGAGGCUGAGGUGGGAGAAUCACCUGAACCCAGGAGGCAGAGGUUGCAGUGAACUGAGAUCGCGCCAUUGCACUCCAGCCUGGGCGACAGAGCAAAA